rnacentral:tRNA from 1 species
AAAGGGAGACCUAAUUCCAGUAGGAGACGAAAAAAAAGUAGUCCCUACCAAGAAUCAAUCCCAAAAGGUCGGAGCGAGGCAAAAUUGGCUUUCAAACUAGGUUCUGGGUUCACACAAGACCUGAAUCAGGAACAAGGGCUAUUAGCUCAGGUGGUUAGAGCGCACCCCUGAUAAGGGUGAGGUCCCUGGUUCGGGUCCAGGAUGGCCCACCUGCACAGGUGGAAGAAAGAAAAGAAGCUCCGAAUCAGCACCUUAUCUUACUUAUAUAGUAAGAGAGAAUGCUGGCUCUGAGUACAGAGUCCAGAGGAACCUUGAAAACUGCAUAGAGCUAGGUGAAAAAGCCAAAAAAGAAGACCGCAAG